ACUCUAGCCGUAGAUCUUGCAAUGAUUGGUAUGAGACAAAGAUUCAAACUUUUUCCUAUUCAUGUUCUUAUUGAUGGUGAUUUGUUCCCUUUUCGUUUGUUAAUUUUUGAAGCAGUUGGAAAAACAAUUGGAGUAUGAGUGUGUAUUCUCGUCCCAAUUUCUCUUCUAUGCAAGUCAUCAUAUAUACAAUAGAUUUAGUUUUCUUCUCAGGUUCACUUCGUGUAAAGAAUCAGUACACAAAGGACUUACCUUUAUGGUUAUCUUUUGAAAAGCCAUCUACCUCUGAAAUUGAAUUAGAUGAAGAUGGUGUUUGGAACAUUGCUGAGGAAAAGGAUAAGAGCUUCAUUGCUAACUGUUUAUGCUUUUGAUAUCUCAUUGUUCAUAAGGUUGACAUUUUGUUUGGCAUAUAUGUUUUGUCACACAAACACAAAUCACCACCAAAUAAUUGUCCAUUGUACAGAUCCACGCACGUCUAUCUAUCCAUAUGUAUAUUUUAUCCAUAUGCAUAUGUUCAUGCAUAUCUGUCCACAAAUAACCGUUCAUGAUUACCCGUCCACACUCAUACGCAUGUACUCCUACAUGUUUAUAUGUCUACAUGUAGCCGUCCACGCUUACCUUCUCAGUUCUCUCUAUAAAUAUUUUUCAAAUAUGAACUAUUUAUAAACUAAAUAUAUAUGUUACCAAAUAAUUCUUUUAACCAAACAAAAAAAAACUAAUAAAUGAAAAUAAAAGUUUUUUUAACAUUUUUUCAUCCAUUUAUAUGUCCACAUCUUUUCUAUUAACUUAUUUUUCUUCUAUGUCCACACUUCUCGUGUCCAUGUAUUGUUUUUCUAUGUCCAUAAUUUUCUGUCCACAUUAAAAUAUAUAAAAAAUAUAUAUGAAAAUAGAUGGUAAAAUGUAGAGAAAAAAAAUUACAAUUUAUAGUAGUAAUUUUUUUUGCUUUAUAUGUCUUAGACUUUGAAAAAAAACAAAUAAACAUAAAAUGGAAUGAAAAAUAAUAACUGUUAACUUAUUUUCUUCUAUGUCCACAAUUUUCUGUCCACACUUAUCGUAUCCAUGUUUUUUUUUCUAUGUCCACAAUUGUCUGUCCACAUUUCUCGUGUCCACGUAUUUUUAUAUAAUUGUUAAAAUAUAUAAAAAAAUAUAUAUGAAAAUGGAUUUUAAAAUGUAGAGAAAAAGAAAUUACAAUUUAUAGUAGUAAUUAUUUUUGCUUUAUAUGUCUUAAACUUUGGAGAAAAAAAACAAAUAAACAUAAAAUGGAGUAAAAAAUAAUAAUUGUUAACGUAUUUUUAUUCUAUGUCCACAAUUUUCUGUCCACACUUAUCGUGUACAUGUAUUUUUUUUCUAUGUCCACAAUUGUCUGUCCACAUUUCUCGUGUCCACGUAUUUUUAUAUAAUUAUUAAAAACUAUAAAAAAUGUAUAUGAAAAUGGAUGUUAAAAUGUAGAGAAAAAGAAAUUACAAUUUAUAGUAUUAAUUAUUUUUGCUUUAUAUGUCUUAAACUUUGG